rnacentral:lncRNA from 1 species
UGAAUGAGCACCCUGUAAACAGGGUACAGGUUGCAUCUCGCUUUUGAAAUCUGGGGGAUUAGAAUCAUUUCCGUUAUGUGGGCAGCUUGACCUCCCUGUAACUAGGGUUUGCGUCUCUGAGGCCCUUUGGGUCUCUUGGCCUCGUGCUGUCUUCACAGCCUGCUGCCAACGACCGCCCUGUAAUCAGGGAUCGGGUCUUUGCCCUCUAGUCUCUUGGCACUAGGCCAAAUGCAACCACUGCCCUGAAUGAGCACCCUGUAAACAGGGUACAGGUCUCAUCAG